rnacentral:rRNA from 1 species
ACGGAAGGUGCAAGCGUUAGUCGGAAUUACUGGGCGUAAAGGGUGCGUAGGCGGUUACAUAAGUCGGGCGUGAAAUUCCGGGGCUUAACCUCGGAGCUGCAUUCGAUACUGUGUGACUAGAGGAAUGGCGGAGAAAAUGGAAUUCCAUAUGUAGCGGUGAAAUGCGUAGAUAUAUGGAAGAACACCUGUGGCGAAAGCGGUUUUCUAGCCUCCUCCUGACGCUGAGGCACGAAAGCAAGGGGAGCAAACAG